rnacentral:tRNA from 1 species
GCCCGGAUGGUGAAAUUGGUAGACACAAGGGACUUAAAAUCCCUCGACUUGAAAAUAGUCUUGCGGGUUCAAGUCCCGCUCUGGGUA